GCUAAAGAAAGGACAGGGGGUGGUGGCUCCUUCAGUGCAGCAUAAGGAUGGGUAAAAUUGCCAGAGGAUAUUAUUAAUGACUAGGAUUUUGCCUUUCUAGCCAAAUCGGCAUGACCCUUUCCUAGAGAACUUGAGUUCAAAGGACUAUCCCCUCUCACAGACUGAGGCCACCGGAGAGAGCUGCGCCUGAGAGCUGAAGACCUUAUGUAGACACACAGAAGAAAGGAGAGUAAGAAGAGGAAUGUACUCCAGAUGGGAGAACUUGAACACAGAGUUAUCUACAAAUCAGCAGCCAAGUGUGUUCCACUUUGCUACCUGAAGAGCUACAUUUCAGCUUGCGUUUCAGAUGGAUGUUUUAAAACCACCAGCCAGAACCAGGACUGAGAGAAAGAGCAGCCCAACCCAGCCCACUCCAGCCAGGUGAGCCUAUUGGCAAAAUUGUUCAUUUUGAGGAAAAAAUCCCAGGUGUAGGAUGCCAGCUCUGUUGUAGCGAAGCAAGAAGCUGAACAUAUGAACAGCAAU
rnacentral:lncRNA from 1 species